UGGUGAAUCAUAAUAACUUAACGAAUCGCAUGGCCUUGCGCCGGCGAUGGUUCAUUCAAAAUUGUGCCCUAUCAACUUUCGAUGGUAGAGUAGUGGUCUACCAUGGUCUCAACGGGUAACGGGGAAUUAGGGUUCGGCUCCGGAGAGGGAGCCUGAGAAACGGCUACCACAUCCAAGGAAGGCAGCAGGCGCGCAAAUUACCCAAUCCCGACACGGGGAGGUAGUGACAAUAAAUACUGAUCCAGGGCUCUUUUGGGUCUUGGAAUUGGAAUGAGUGCAAAUUAAAUCUCUCAACGAGGAACAAUUGGAGGGCAAGUCUGGUGCCAGCAGCCGCGGUAAUUCCAGCUCCAAUAGCGUAUAUUAAAGUUGUUGCGGUUAAAAAGCUCGUAGUUGAACCUUGGAACUGGCCGAUCUGUCCUCCUAAUCGAGUGUACGGAUCCGGCCGGUUCUUUCCUUCUGGGGAACCCGAUGUCCUUCAUUGGGUGUCGUGGGGAACCAGGACUUUUACUUUGAAAAAAUUAGAGUGUUCAAAGCAGGCCUUUGCUCGAAUAUCUUAGCAUGGAAUAAUUGAAUAGGACAUCGGUUCUAUUUUGUUGGUUUCUAGGACCGCUGUAAUGAUUAAUAGGGAUAGUCGGGGGCGUCAGUAUUCAAUUGUCAGAGGUGAAAUUCUUGGAUUUAUUGAAGACUAACUACUGCGAAAGCAUUCGCCAAGGAUGUUUUCAUUAAUCAGUGAACGAAAGUUAGGGGAUCGAAGACGAUCAGAUACCGUCGUAGUCUUAACCAUAAACUAUGCCGAUUUUCAAUCGGUCGGUGUUUCUUUUAUAUGACCCGAUCGGCGGAAUG
rnacentral:rRNA from 1 species